rnacentral:rRNA from 1 species
CAUGCAGUCGAGCGCUACCUUCGGGUGGAGCGGCGGACGGGUUAGUAACGCGUGGGAAUAUACCUAGUUCUAAGGAAUAGCCUCGGGAAACUGAGAGUAAUACCUUAUACGCCCUUCGGGGGAAAGAUUUAUCGGAAUUAGAUUAGCCCGCGUUAGAUUAGAUAGUUGGUGGGGUAAUGGCCUACCAAGUCUACGAUCUAUAGCUGGUUUGAGAGGAUGAUCAGCAACACUGGGACUGAGACACGGCCCAG